GGAACGAACGCUGGCGGCAUGCCUAAUACAUGCAAGUCGAACGAACUCUUCGGAGUUAGUGGCGCACGGGUGCGUAACGCGUGGGAAUCUGCCCCUUGGUUCGGAAUAACAGUUGGAAACGACUGCUAAUACCGGAUGAUGACGAAAGUCCAAAGAUUUAUCGCCAAGGGAUGAGCCCGCGUAGGAUUAGCUAGUUGGUGAGGUAAAGGCUCACCAAGGCAACGAUCCUUAGCUGGUCUGAGAGGAUGAUCAGCCACACUGGGACUGAGACACGGCCCAGACUCCGUACGGGAGGCAGCAGUAGGGAAUAUUGGACAAUGGGCGAAAGCCUGACCCAGCAAUGCCGCGUGAGUGAUGAAGGUCUUAGGUUGUAAGCUUCUUUACCGAGAUGAUAAGUAGACAGUAGUACGGAGAAGUAACGCCCCGGUCUAACCGUCCGUGCCAGCGACGCCGUAC
rnacentral:rRNA from 1 species